CUGCACUCGGGGAACUCACGCGGUUUCCCGGCAUUGUGCUCACUCCCACCCGGUUAGCGAGUGUGCAUCGGGAGACGGAUUUCACAGGAACAUCGGCCAUGGAUGAACCCCGAGUGAAGGGACUUAGGAAGCCUCUCCCACUUGAUGUUCUCCUUCAGAGACCCAAAAUGCUUGCCAGGAAGGAAGAGCCACUUUCUGUCCUCCGCCAUCAGGAGCACAGAAGGGUGAAGCUGGGCACACACACAGAAGCAUCUCAUGCCGCCUGCGGUGGCUGCAGCACUCUCCUGGGCAGGACAUGCUCAAAGGUCAACGUGACUUGGGAAAGCAACUUUGCACUUACAAGAUGACUCAGUCACUGAUGAGGACCCCUGAGUCUCCUGAGAAGUACAACAGGCCGAGUAAUAAAGAAUGUGUCCUUGGUUAAG
rnacentral:lncRNA from 1 species